rnacentral:rRNA from 1 species
GAUGAACGCUGGCGGCGUGCCUAAUACAUGCAAGUCGAGCGAACAGACGAGGAGCUUGCUCCUUCGACGUUAGCGGCGGACGGGUGAGUAACACGUAGGUAACCUACCUAUAAGACUGGGAUAACUUCGGGAAACCGGAGCUAAUACCGGAUAAUAUUUCGAACCGCAUGGUUCGAUAGUGAAAGAUGGCUUUGCUAUCACUUAUAGAUGGACCUGCGCCGUAUUAGCUAGUUGGUAAGGUAACGGCUUACCAAGGCAACGAUACGCAGCCGACCUGAGAGGGUGAUCGGCCACACUGGAACUGAGACACGGUCCAGACUCCUACGGGAGGCAGCAGUAGGGAAUCUUCCGCAAUGGGCGAAAGCCUGACGGAGCAACGCCGCGUGAGUGAUGAAGGUCCUCGGAUCGUAAAACUCUGUUAUUAGGGAAGAACAAACGUGUAAGUAACUGUGCACGUCUUGACGGUACCUAAUCAGAAAGCCACGGCUAACUACGUG